AUUUAGGGCGGAAAACCAAAUGAGUUACUCCGCGGACUUUGUUCUUAUUUGGUUCUGUGCCCAGAGUCCCGCCCAGGAAGCGAUAAAGACAGCAGCAGCCGGCCGGUCGCGGCUGUGCAUCAUACUUAAGGAAAGUCACAGGGUCGUACAGAGCUUCAAGGACUUCACAGAGAGCCACCAUAAUUACUACAUACUGUUAGAAAAUCAAAUAAAACAAUACUUUACAGCGAGGUGCACUCCUCUAUAUUAACAGGGCUUAUAUAACCUGUAACUUAUUCACUAAUUAUUAACAUAUAUGUGAGCUGUUGUUUAAACUAACACUUGUGUGCUGUUUGUAAAACAUGGAUGUCAAUGUCAGUGAUGUUCUUGAGCAACCCACUGUCACGUGUCUACUCUUGCUCUGCACGCAGCACAAGUUCACGAGCUCACUCGCUGAAAUGCUGCAUGCUCGUGUUUAUGGCGAGAGCUGGUUUAUGUUACUGCGUAUGUCUGCGUUAGAUUAGGCCCCACAUUUCAAAAUAAAAGUUUCAUUCAUUCCUUCAUCCAGCUCAGGCUCGAUCAAAGUUGUUCACUAGAGGGCGGCAAGAGACCUAAUGUCUUCAUUCAGCUGGAGAACAUAACCCACAGAUCUGCUGCAUGCAGAUGGAUAUAAAUUACUAAUGAGCAGAAUAACUGAAUACUUAAAAAUGCAUCGGAGGAAUAUUUUGAAACCUGCCAAAUGUGUUGACCAAAGGGAGGAGCUGCCGUGCUGCAUGCAGUCUGAGGAGCCACAGACCGACUUCUAAAGCUGGAACAGGCCAAGAUAACAGUGAAUAAAACACACUGGGAAACUAAUUGUACAAGGUCAGCCUCAGCAGUGGAACAAGUAAAGAUUUCACACUCCCAGUCCUGCUGUAAGCUGAUACGAAUGGAAAAGACUGGUGGUGCUGCAGACUUGUCUCAAGGCAGAGGAGGGAACAUAUUUAAUUUAACAUUUAAGCUCACUUCAGCAGACACAUAAAGGCACCUGUGGGAACAAACAAACAAACCAAGAUUUCUUCCAGAAACAAGGUUCAGUCAGACAGGUCCAAAUGGAAACAGCACAGUCUUGCUUUGUCUGCUUCUUCAACCCUUUUUUUCCACUGAACGGUACAAGACCCAUUAAUGCAGUGUCAAGGUCAAAGCCACUACUCUGUGGAGAUUUAACUUUAAAUCCAUUAAAAAACAAAAACAGCUCGGUUAAUUAAAUGGAUUAGAGAUAAUUCUGUCGCUAAACAUAAUUGACUUUUCAAUGCAAUCUAUAAUAAACACCUUGUGUUGUCCAUCAUGUUGAUGCCUGAACUUGGCUGCAUCAACCCAGCUGUUCUCCCAGAGGAAACAUUUGAACAUCCCACAGGCAUAUUCACACGUGUUUGUAUAUGUGCGUGUGUGUGUGUUGGGGGGGGGCAAUCAAAUUGCGCCUUUAACAGAGAUGCGCCAUACAGUCUCUGCGCCCUGAUCUGAGCUGGACAACUGGAGCUGCGACGCAACCACGCGCAAGUCCAAAUGCGACACAACUCACAGAUGGAGGCUGUUGCCUGACUGUCUGUCUGUCUGUCUGACUGACUGGAAGUGACUGGCUGAUCAUCGGAAACUUUUUUUGGAUAAAUGUUUUGGAGAUUUACCGAAUGCGUCCGCUAGAGAUCAACACAACUGGGAUCCGAGAAAUAAAUGGGACAACAAAAAUCGCGAGAACUUGAAUUGCUCCGGUUGUGUGCACGGUUCAGUUUGGCCAACUUUGUGCACUAGCACCCUCCGAUC